rnacentral:rRNA from 1 species
AGGCAACAGUGGGGAAUAUUGCACAAUGGGCGAAAGCCUGAUGCAGCGACGCCGCGUGAGGGAUGACGGCCUUCGGGUUGUAAACCUCUUUCAGCAGGGAAGAAGCCACAAGUGACGGUACCUGCAGAAGAAGCGCCGGCUAACUACGUGCCAGCAGCCGCGGUAAUACGUAGGGCGCAAGCGUUGUCCGGAAUUAUUGGGCGUAAAGAGCUCGUAGGCGGUUUGUCGCGUCUGCUGUGAAAGCCCGGGGCUUAACCCCGGGUGUGCAGUGGGUACGGGCAGACUAGAGUGCAGUAGGGGAGACUGGAAUUCCUGGUGUAGCGGUGGAAUGCGCAGAUAUCACGAGGAACACCGAUGGCGAAGGCAGGUCUCUGGGCUGUUACUGACGCUGAGGAGCGAAAGCAUGGGGAGCGAACAGGAUUAGAUACCCUGGUAGUCCAUGCCGUAAACGUUGGGCACUAGGUGUGGGGGACAUUCCACGUUUUCCGCGCCGUAGCUAACGCAUUAAGUGCCCCGCCUGGGGAGUACGGCCGCAAGGCUAAAACUCAAAGGAAUUGACGGGGGCCCGCACAAGCGGCGGAGCAUGCGGAUUAAUUCGAUGCAACGCGAAGAACCUUACCAAGGCUUGACAUAUACCGGAUCGUUCCAGAGAUGGUUCUUCCCCUUUGGGGUCGGUAUACAGGUGGUGCAUGGUUGUCGUCAGCUCGUGUCGUGAGAUGUUGGGUUAAGUCCCGCAACGAGCGCAACCCUCGUUCCAUGUUGCCAGCACGUGAUGGUGGGGACUCAUGGGAGACUGCCGGGGUCAACUCGGAGGAAGGUGGGGAUGACGUCAAAUCAUCAUGCCCCUUAUGUCUUGGGCUUCACGCAUGCUACAAUGGCCGGUACAAAGGGUUGCGAUACUGUGAGGUGGAGCUAAUCCCAAAAAGCCGGUCUCAGUUCGGAUUGAGGUCUGCAACUCGACCUCAUGAAGUCGGAGUCGCUAGUAAUCGCAGAUCAGCAACGCUGCGGUGAAUACGUUCCCGGGCCUUGUACACACCGCCCGUCAAGUCACGAAAGUCGGUAACACCCGAA